rnacentral:ncRNA from 1 species
AGUAAAUUGGUACCAGACUUUUCUGGGAAGCUAAAAACGCUGAUCCAAUUAUUAGUGCAAACUAAUCAUCUUCGGAUGUUGUUGGCUGGCUCUGAAUAACGCAGCAUAUCGGGGGCUUGUCCGCUGAUAUCCCGUAAAAGUGUCUGCCCUAUCAACCUGAUGGUAAUCUAUUAGUCUACCAUGGUUAUUACGGGGAACGGAGAACAAGGGUUCGACUCUA